UAUAAUCAGUUUUAUUGCCAGGUAAGAAAUUCAUAUUAAUAUAGUGAAUACAUGUUUACAAAUAAACAUUUUUAGAAAACAAACAAAUGUCUUUUUUUUUUCUUCAUUGUAGGAAGUAUUAUUGGUAUCAUAAACUCUGCAGUUGUUGACAAGUAUUAACACAGGUUUACUUGCAGAACAUACGGUUACUAAAAUAUUCGCACAUAAAAUAUGCUCCAUUUACACGGAAAACUGGGGAGGGGGGAGUUAGAUGGGGGUACCAGGCAGAGCCCAAGGCGGGAUGGAGGCUGAGAUGCUCUGGGAAGGCGAAAGGAAGUCAGACUCUGGUCCCAUUGGGUUGGAAGUCGGGGAUAGCUAAAGGCAAAAAGUAGAGGCUAGUGCCAGGGCACGGGAUGGGACAGGGACAGCCUCUCUGCUUUGUUCCGGUUUCUCUCUUCUAAGCUCCCCACCAUAGCUACAGGAUUCAUGUUGAUACACGGCAGCCACAGAUCCAUCAGUACCAUGAGUUCCAUCCCCAUCCACCCUCCUGGGAGGAGGCCUAAGAAUAAACCUCCUUGUCCAGCCCCCACCCCCUUGGUCCCAGUUCACCAAGCCAACUGGAAGGUCAUGAGACAGAGAAGUAAUGUCCUCUGCCGUCAUCCUGUCACAUCUUCCUGAGCGUGCUGCAACCUUCCUGCCAACACCCCCCAACUAACAACAAAACUCACUGGAUGAAGUUUACCCAGAAGAGAAGGAACACGGAGGAGGGUGGGGUGGGAAAGAAUUCUGUUGAUUCAGAGACCAAGAAAGGUCCUUAAUCAGCGUUGGGAUAAAGGUCAGAUGAAGUGAGUCCAGUACAAGAGGCAGGAUGAGCCAAAGGGGAAACUAGACUCACAGGACUUUGGAGCUGUAGGGAACCUCACAGAUAAGCAGACCCCGUAUUUCCUGAAAUAUGCGCUGUGCAUCACUGGCAAAUGCAAAACGAUUUGUAGUAGCACGUGGAUCUAGCACUGGUUAACACCGAGUCACAGAGGGAAUGGGUUCCUUUCCAUUCUAUCCGUCCGAUGGAGUCCCUUGGAGUGCAAAGUCUCCACUGGGUGCUGGUAUAUCUUUAACAGCUCUUUAACAAAUCUGCUAAUCUUCUUAAUAAAGAAAAAAGGGAGAGGGAGGAAAGAUGGAAGGGAAGAGAGACAGAGAGAGAGAGACAGAGAGAGCGUGCGAUGAGCCAGCAAAGGCCUGGCUCUGGGUUAACAUCCUUCCACAGGCAACAAUAUCCAGCUAGAGCUUAACGAUUGCCACUCUGUUGCCUUGGUCUUUGUUUUUAUGCUUACUUUUUAUUUAGGGUGAUUGAUACUGCCUUUCUGUUUGACAUGAGGAAAGGAAGUUUUCCUUUUAAGAGUUCAAAGUAUUAAGAGGGAAUCAAUUUAGAUAUUAAAUAUUAGAUAUUAAAUAUUUUGGUGGCAAUACACAAGGAUGCCAAAAGCAGGUACACGGAAAGCUAAUAUCACGGAAACCCUGACCGAAGGGCGGUGUUUACCCCACUCUGGGGAACGCUGGGAUCCCAGCAAAGAGGCUGAGAAAGUGGGCAUUGUAUCCGCCCCCACCCCCACCCCCACCACCAGCUCUGCUUUGUCCAGCGCAGAGCCACCUUCUCAGUGAGGAUCUUCCAGAGUGGCACCUGUGCACGAUUACAUUUUUAAAAAAUGGGCAGAGGUUUUGCCAUUCAGAAAGAUUGAAAGGCUUUCCCCGUGUUUCGGAUGGGAGACUACGGCCCAAGGAGAUAACAUGCAUUGUCAAUGUGCCCCCCAGAUGGAAUGAAAAGAAGAACCCAACCCCGGAUUUCCCUUGCUUCUGUGAUAUCAGAGGAGAGAGACAGGUGAGGCAGCACGCCGCCGGGAAGCCACCUUGGUCGGGAUGCCCAAGGGCCAUCGGCUGGGAGGACCGAUCUGAACAACCACCUCAGGGGGGAUUCUGGUUGGGAGAUGAAUUCUUGGAUGGAUGUAUCUGGGGAGGUAGGUGGCUGGGAGGGCCAUGGAAAUUACAAGAUCCCAAAAUGCUUGGGAGGUUUGGCGGGGGCAGGGGGGGCAGAUAACGCUAGGACUGGGGGUGGGAGGGUGGGGGGUGGGGAGGUCUUCAUCUUUAGGUACCCCCGACAUCGUAGCAGCCCCCUCGGGGUGUGGGAUGGCUGGGCUCACUGACAAAGGAGGAGAGGAACAUCUUCUAUUACUGCAGGAAACAGGACGCGGGGCGGGGGGUGGGGGGCUCAGAGAACACAGGUUGCACUUGGGAAACAAGACUGUCAUUAAACAGUAACACAUUGAAGGCACCACCCACGCUUAUGACAUUUUCAGUCCAAAGCAGUUGAAAUUUGGCAGCGGCGGCGGCAACGGGCUGAGGGGGGUCGGGGAGAGAUGGGUAAGAGAGGACUGGUUUCUGCGUCUGUUUCUUGUCUUGGAGGCAAGGCGGGAAAUGCGGGGUGUCCCCUUCUCACCUCUUGUCGACUUUCCAGCUGUGGAGUAUGUUUUUGUUCUGAUGUCAUUGUUUCCUAAGUCCCAAGGAUUCUGGGCAAAAAUGAAUUUGCUGUUUUUGUCUGUUUUGUAGUGGGCUUGUCUUUGUUUCUCUUCUUCUUCUUCUUGUUCUUUAAAGUUAUUUAAUACUCUCUGGACCCUCUGCCCGCUGCAGAAGCCUACUAUCCUUGCCAUGUACAUUGUCAUGGUCUUUACAGGACUUCUCUAAAAUGCUCUUUCUUUCUCAUCACUGCCAGUGGGUUCAGGGUCUAUUGACUUUUUGUGAGUUUGAGUGUGUGUGUGUGUGUGUGUGUGUGUGUUUGCUUCCAACAUUGACGAUAUGAAAAGUACUACAAAUAGAAUGGUAGGGGUCCAGUUACUGUCUCACGCUUGGCAAAAUUGUGUGUCCAUGUCACUAUUUCUUGAGAUUAGAAGACACUUAUGCACACAGCAUUCUUCCCAGAGAACUCCUCUUCUCAAGUACGCUCUUCUCUUGUGUCCACCCUCAUGCUCCCCCCACCCCAACCUGGCUCUUUCACCGGAAACAGCGCAUGGUAAAUGGUGUAUGUGCUCAAAUGGACAAUUUCUCUAAGUUGUGCUACUUUUAAUUUUUCAUCAUGGAGUUCAGUUGUAAGUCAGGAGGAAAAGAAAAAUUAGCCCCACGGUGUGGGCGUGUGAGUUGGCCACCUGGGGCCUGAAGUCGAAAGAGCCGUGCCUCAGUUUCUCCUUUGCUGUAUUGCUGAACGUCCCUGCUUCCGUCUUGCUCAGCUGCCCGCUGACAUGUGUUCGGCAUGACCCAAGAAAAGCGUGAUUCUGC
rnacentral:lncRNA from 1 species